rnacentral:rRNA from 1 species
UGACCUCAAAUCAGGUAGGACUACCCGCUGAACUUAAGCAUAUCAAUAAGCGGAGGAAAAGAAACUAACAAGGAUUCCCCUAGUAACUGCGAGUGAAGCGGGAAAAGCUCAAAUUUAAAAUCUGGCAGUCUUUGGCUGUCCGAGUUGUAAUCUAGAGAAGUGUUAUCCGCGCUGGACCGUGUACAAGUCUCCUGGAAUGGAGCGUCAUAGAGGGUGAGAAUCCCGUCUUUGACACGGACUACCAGGGCUUUGUGAUGCGCUCUCAAAGAGUCGAGUUGUUUGGGAAUGCAGCUCAAAAUGGGUGGUAAAUUCCAUCUAAAGCUAAAUAUUGGCGAGAGACCGAUAGCGAACAAGUACCGUGAGGGAAAGAUGAAAAGAACUUUGGAAAGAGAGUUAAACAGUACGUGAAAUUGCUGAAAGGGAAACGCUUGAAGUCAGUCGCGUCGUCCAGGGAUCAACCUUGCUUUUGCUUGGUGCACUUUCUGGUUGACGGGUCAGCAUCAAUUUUGACCAUUGGAAAAAGAUCAAGGGAAUGUGACAUCUUUGGAUGUGUUAUAGCCCUUGGUUGCAUACGAUGGUUGGGAUUGAGGAACUCAGCACGCCGCAAGGCCGGGUUUUUAACCACGUACGUGCUUAGGAU